rnacentral:tRNA from 4 species
GUGGGGAUAGUGUAACUAGGUAACACAUUGGUCUCCAAAACCAAAAAUUCUGGGUUCAAAUCCUAGUCCCCACGCUA